rnacentral:rRNA from 1 species
CCCUUAGAUGUUCUGGGCCGCACGCGCGCUACAAUGAUGCAUUCAAAAAGUCUUCUGACCUUAGAAGGUUUGGUAUUCUCCAAAGUGCAUCGUGAUGGGAAUAGUUUAUUGCAAUUUUUAAUCUUGAACGAGGAAUUCCUAGUAAGUACAGGUCAUCAACUUGUGUUGAUUACGUCCCUGCCCUUUGUACACACCGCCCGUCGCUCCUACUGAUUGAGUGUCUCAAUGAAUUCUUUGAUCUUCUGUCGAUUCAGUUCACUGAUCCGACGGUGGAAAGUUGAAUGAACUUCGUCACUUAGAGGAAGGAGAAGUCGUAACA